GUUGUGUUUAACCUCACUUUUUGUAAUUAAUAAAAAUUGUGGAGUCAUAAAUCGUAAGUUUUUCACUUCCUAUUUAUUCUCCAUCAACUACGAUUUGAUGAUCGAGAAACUCAACUCAGACUGAAGACGGUUAUUUAAACUAAAAUGAAUCAAAAUCAUGGGGAAAUAAUAAAUAAGUUUAUUUUAAUUAUGCAAUACAAACAUUUUCUACACAAGGUUAGAUACAUAACCUAAAAAAAUUUUACACAUCUAAUUUGUCUAAUUAUUUAAGUGGAAGAGUUCUUGAUUCAAAAGAAUUAUUUAUUAAAUAACGAGAUGAUUUUAAAUACGAUAAAGUGUUGUGAUUUGGUUAAUAUGGUCCAGGAUAGGGUUAAAAUUGUGUUUAACCCUGAAUUUUUAAGCUCAACUAAUCCUUUAUUUGGACUAGUUUAAAUGUAAGGUUAGAUACAUAACCUAAGAAAAUUUUGCACAUCUAAUUUGUUAAAUUAUUUAAUUGGAAGAGUUCUUGAUUCAAAAGAAUUAUUUAUUAAAUAAUGAGAUGAUUUUAAAUACGAUAAAGUGUUGUGAUUUGGUUAAUAUGGUCCAGGAAAGGGUUAAAAUUGUGUUUAACCCUGAAUUUUUAAGCUCAACUAAUCCUUUAUUUGGACUAGUUUAAAUCUAAGGAGUUAUAAAUCGUAAGUUUUUCUCUUCCUGUUUAUUCUCUAUCGACUACGAUUUGAUGAUCGAGAAACUCAACUCAGACUGAAGACGGUUAUUUAAACUAAAAUGAAUCAAAUUCAUGGGGAAAUAAUAAAUAAGUUUAUUUUAAUUAUGCAAUACAA
rnacentral:lncRNA from 1 species